CAUAUGUUAUCUGUUAUUGUUUGUUUAUUUAUAAUUUCUUUGAGAACUGCAUUACUGUAUUUCUUUUUAAAAACAUUUUCUUUAUCCUUUGCAGCAUUUCAAAGUUCCCUACGGUGACCUCAUACUGAAGGUCACAAUAGAGAAGCUUCUGAAGAAGAAGAACUUGGGUGGUCUUGGCUAUCUUUCUUUUGUUUUCCCAUAUCAGAAAGUUUUUCAUUACACAAAAAAUAUACAGCUAGCACUCUUACUACUUGAGUUUUAUCAUCUAGAAAAUAAACUGGGAAGGAAAUGUCAAACCACUCCAGCAUCUUUGCCAAGAAAGCCCCAAAUGGAGUCAUGAAGUGUUGGACAUUACAGAAAUGACUCAACAAUAACAAAAGGAUAUAAGAAAGGAGCAGCUAGUUGGCAGAGUGAAGACAGUUCCAGGUCUGCAGUCAGGAAGACACCUCUUCCUAAGUUCAAAUCCAACCUCAGACAAUUACUAGCUGUAAAUAGGUAAGUCACUUAACUUCAUCUGACUCCAUUUCUUCAACUGUAAAAUGAGCUGGAGAGGGAAAUGACAAAUCACUCUAGUAGUUCUACCAGAAAAAAUAUCAAAUGAUGUUUAGAAGUAAAAUAGGAUUUAAACAACUGAACAAGUUCUUACAAUAAUUCAUUGUGCCAAUAUUAUAGCAAUACAAUCACCAAAGAAUCAAAAUAGCAGGUGACAUAAAGGAUGAAU
rnacentral:lncRNA from 1 species